AUAACAUUCGGGCCGUCGGUCUACCGAGCAACUUCGCUCGCUCAGUGAAAGAUCUUCCCUUUGUAGU
rnacentral:pre_miRNA from 1 species